CACCAAUUAACACACAGAAUUUGAAGAGAUCUUUUUCAGGGAGAGAGAUGGCUUCAAUGAUUUCUUCCACCGCAGUUAGCCGAGCCACCGUUGCUCAGGCCAGUUUGAUCGCUCCGUUCACCGGACUUAAGUCCGCCUCCGCCUUCCCCGUCACCACCAAGAAGGCCUCCAUCCCAAGCAACGGCAGCAGAGUGCAGUGCAUGAAGGUGAGGCCCUGUCUUCAUUUCUCGUUUCUUUAUGGGCUUCAAGUUUGCAUAGACCAUUAUACUUAGGUACUUAAAUUAAUUGUUAAUAUUGUAAAUCGUUGAAAUUUAAACAUAUGACUUAUUAGUCUAAAUGCUCUGAUGUCAUAAUAAAUUAUUGCAUCCUAAUAAUUUGAGUUGUUGAAAAACGGUUAAUUAUGAAUCUUAUAUCAUUUUCUUAUAUGUUUCUUGGAUUGUUAUAUGUAUAGGUGUGGCCACCAAUUGGUUUGAAGAAGUACGAGACCCUGUCGUACCUUCCCCCGUUGUCACAGGAGGCGUUGGCUAAGGAGGUCGACUACCUUCUCCGCAUGGGAUGGGUUCCUUGCUUGGAAUUCGAGUUGGAGGUAUCUUUAUUAAUUCCUAACUUACUACUACUAGUACUAGAGAGUGUGAUUGUGUUUUGGGCUUAGAAAAUAUUCUAGAGUAGAUUUGUAUACCGAUGAUUUGAAGAUAUUAGAUUUGAAUCUAGUAAUUUCACAGAUGAAUAUCCAAUAUAUUAUGAGUUCUAGUGUGACAAAAUGGGAUGAUAAAAGCAUUAUGUAUAUUCAUCAAAAUUCCAAUAUAUUAUGUGUUGAGGUAGCUUAGUGUUACCAUAUGGUUUUUAGCUAGGCUAAUUUGAGGGAGGACUAACAUGUUUUUAUGUUAAAAAACUGUGUAUGUAGCAC
rnacentral:lncRNA from 1 species